rnacentral:lncRNA from 1 species
ACAUUUCUUUUGUGGGAGCUAAAGGGUUAACACAUGAUCCAUGACGUCAGACUACAGAAGACGUCGCUGUGGUAGUGUGGGACCUCUUCUGCCGGUAUAAUUUCACAUUGCAAAGUUUCCAUCAGGCCUUGCCCUCAUCCAGAAGUGUGUUCACAAGAGUCGCAGCCCUGCAUUUCAAAUCAGUAGACGAGUAUUUCGCCAUGAACUCUGACAUGGAUGGUGACAUAGAAAAUCAGGUGGAGUUGGAGGAGAAGACCAGACUUAUAAACCAGGUCCUUGAGUUGCAGAAUACUCUUGAGGGUAAGUAACCCACACUACAUGUUUUGUCACAUAAUGUUAACUAAUGCUGGGUUCUUUAACCU